UGGGGAAUCGUUCCGCAAUGGACGAAAGUCUGACGGAGCAACGCCGCGUGAGUGAAGAAGGUUUUCGGAUCGUAAAAACUCUGUCUUUUGGGGCGAACGUGAGUAUGGUGAACAAUCAUAGUCAGUGACGGUACCAAAGGAGGAAGCCACGGCUAACUACGUGCCAGCAGCCGCGGUAAUACGUAGGUGGCAAGCGUUGUCCGGAAUUAUUGGGCGUAAAGAGCGCGUAGGCGGGAUAGUCAGUCUGUUGUAAAAGUGCGGGGCUCAACCCCGUGAUCGCAAUGGAAACAGCUAUUCUUGAGUGCAGGAGAGGAAAGUGGAAUUCCCAGUGUAGCGGUGAAAUGCGUAGAUAUUGGGAGGAACACCAGUGGCGAAGGCGACUUUCUGGACUGUGUCUGACGCUGAGGCGCGAAAGCCAGGGGAGCGAACGGGAUUAGAUACCCCGGUAGUCCUGGCCGUAAACGAUGGGUACUAGGUGUGGGAGGUAUCGACCCCCUUUCCGUGCCGGAGUUAACGCAAUAAGUACCCCGCCUGGGGAGUACGGUCGCAAGACUGAAACUCAAAUGAAUUGAC
rnacentral:rRNA from 1 species